AAACAUAAAAACAGAAACAUAUUCAUACUUCUUGAGCGUUCCAGACUGGGAUUGUUCCUGGAAGGUAGUUUCUAAAAUGUAGUAAGGUUGCCAGUAGGGCCAGUGCCAGUGGACCCUGCUACAUUCCGUCUGAGCAAUCCGAACCUGUGCUAUUAUACAGUUAGAACUUAGUGUGUGUGGUUUGGGCUCACAGUCAGUGUUUAUGUUUGACCCCUUGAAGUGGUGCAGAUCUGUGAUCUCUGUAUCUGUGCAGAUGAUGAGGCUGAAGCUGCAGCCUUAAGAAUAUAACAGGUAUAUUUAAAUUUGCUUGAAAAUCUAACUAAAAAAUAUCUUUGUGAGCACUAGUGUUCAAAGACACAAUUCCUGUUCUUCCUCAACUAGAAGCCAAGUACAAGAAGUUGGAGAAGCGAUGAGAAUCAUGUUCGUGUGUCUCAAGUGUUUUUUAAUAUGGAAGUUGUUUUAUAACCACUAAAUCCUGAGGCUGACAAUUAUCACAGUUCCUCAGAAGAAAACUGCUGGUUAAUCCCAAGACCACACGAUACCACGGAUGAACUGGAGGGCUGCGGCUGUUCUGGAGUCUCCUCUGAGGUGGUACCUCUCAGAAACUCACACCCAGAAUGCCUCACCGUUUACUUGAAUGCUUCAUCAUCCAUACAAGAUGGAGACUCUAGAGUUCAGGGCAUACCUGGGCUUGCCAGUAGAGUCCAGGGAGGGGACCUGCUUUCCCUGGUAUUGGGCAAUUAGCACGUUAUUUUCUAAAAUGGCUGUUUUGUUCGUUUUGUUUUCUACUGAUGAUAUAAUGUAUUAUUAACAAGAUUCUAAAUUAAAAGGGAAAACAAAAC
rnacentral:lncRNA from 1 species